rnacentral:lncRNA from 1 species
AAAAAACUGACUUGGCUCUAAAUGUGUUGUCUAGACGGAAAAAAAAAAAAGAUGGAAAAUAAUGAAAGAAAUAAUUAACUUUUCAAGCUAUGUUAUGUUGUUACAGUUUUGUUCCCAAAUAUAGCAGGACACAGGUGGGAAUUACCCAUGAAACACUAGUUUAAGAGGUAGGGAUAGGUCUCAGUUGUGUCCAUAAAGCUGAAGAGACAUCUAGUGCUAAAUCCCCAAAGGGGCUCUGCAGGAUUUGCAGACAUCAAAGCGGUGGCAGCAAUAUAAUGAAGACAUGGCCAAGGUAGAGGAUCCACUAAACUUCAGCAAAAUGAGUGGCCACAAGUUCUAGCAAAACAAGUGGCUUCUAUCCGCUCUGGAAGAAGACAUUAAAAAAGCUGAAUGAGAGUCCACACUGGUAAAAAUGUGCCAAUAAGCUUCUUUGUUUCUUGACUUUGAGUUUCAGAUGGAUGAAAGGUCCUCUUUUAGAUAUGCAAGAUUGUGCAUGACUGAAGAAGGGCUGGUGCCUCCAUCAUGCAGUUGCUGCUGAAGAUAACUAAGAGA